GCAGACCCACGCCGACUCAGAGUCUCCACAGACGCCAAGGAUGGGAUCUUGGCGCCCCGAACCCUCUUCCUGCUGCUCUCGGGGGCGCUGGCCCUGACCGAGACCUGGGCAGUGUCCCGGCCCGGCCGCGGGGAGCCCCAGUUCAUCUACGUGGCCUACGUGGACGACACGCAGUUCGUGCGAUUCGACAGCGACGCGGCGAUUCCGAGGAUGGAGCCGCUGGCGCCGUGGGUGGAGCCGGAGUGUUGGGGGCGGGAGACACGGGGCGCCAAGACCCACGCAGAGAAUUUCCAAGUGAACCUGCGGACCCUGCUCCGCGGCUGCAACCCAAGCGAGGCCGGGCCUCACACAGUCCAGAAGAUGUACGGCUGCGACCUGGGGCCAGAUGGGCCCUUCCUCCGCGGGUCCGACCAGUUCGCCUACGAUGGCAAGGAUUACCUCGCCCUGAACGAGGACCUGCGCUCCUGGACCGCAGCGGACACCACGGCUCAGAUCUCCCUGCGCAAGUGGGAGGUGACCCGUGAGGCGGAGAGGGUGAGAGCCUACCUGGAGGACAGGUGCCUGGAGUGGCUCCGCAGAUACCUGGAGAACGGGAAGGAGACGCUGCAGCGCGCGGAACCCCCAAAGACACACGUGACCCACCACCCCGUCUCUGAUCAUGAGGCCAUCCUGAGGUGCUGGGCUCUGGGCUUCUACCCUGUGGAGAUUACACUGACCUGGCAGUGGGAUGGGGAGGACCAAACUCAGGACACGCAGCUUGUGGAGACCAGGCCGGCAGGGGAUGGAACCUUCCAGAAGUGGGCAGCUGUGGUGGUGCCUUCUGGAGAGGAGCAGAAAUACAUGUGCCAUGUGCAGCAUGAGGGGUUCCUGGAGCCCCUCACCCUGAGAUGGGAGCAGUCUUCCCAGCCCGUCAUCCUCAUCGUAGCCAUUGUUGCUGGCCUGAUUGUCCUUGGAGCUGUGGUCACUGGAGCUGUGGUCACUUCUGUGAUGUGGAGGAAGAAAAGCUCAGGUGGAAAAGGAGGGAGCUACUGUCAGGCUGCGUGUAAGUUGGAGACUGGGAUGUGGAGGAGCUCACCCACCCCAUAAUUCCUCCUGUCCCACGUCUCCUGUGGGCUCUGACCAGCUGCUGUUUUUGUUCUACCCCAAGGAGCAAUGGUGCCCAGGGCUCUGAUGUGUCUCUCAGGGAUUGUAAAGCCUGAGACAGCUGCUUUUUGUGGUACUAAGAUGAUGGGAUUUCCUCAUGCCUCCCCUUUGUGACUUCAGGAUCCUCUGGCAUCUCUUUCUGCAAAGGCAUCUGAAUGUGUCUGCGUCCCUGUUAGCACAAUGUGAGGAGGUGGAGAGACAGCCCACCCCCGUGUCCACCGUGACCCUCGUAUCCACGCUGACCUGCAUUCCUUCCCCAGUCAU